CCCUUAGAGUUUGAUCCUGGCUCAGAUUGAACGCUGGCGGCAUGCCUUACACAUGCAAGUCGAACGGCAGCGCGGGGCAACCUGGCGGCGAGUGGCGAACGGGUGAGUAAUAUAUCGGAACGUACCCUGGAGUGGGGGAUAACGUAGCGAAAGUUACGCUAAUACCGCAUACGAUCUAAGGAUGAAAGUGGGGGAUCGCAAGACCUCAUGCUCCUGGAGCGGCCGAUAUCUGAUUAGCUAGUUGGUGGGGUAAAGGCCUACCAAGGCAUCGAUCAGUAGCUGGUCUGAGAGGACGACCAGCCACACUGGAACUGAGACACGGUCCAGACUCCUACGGGAGGCAGCAGUGGGGAAUUUUGGACAAUGGGCGAAAGCCUGAUCCAGCAAUGCCGCGUGAGUGAAGAAGGCCUUCGGGUUGUAAAGCUCUUUUGUCAGGGAAGAAACGGUGAGGGCUAAUAUCCUUUGCUAAUGACGGUACCUGAAGAAUAAGCACCGGCUAACUACGUGCCAGCAGCCGCGGUAAUACGUAGGGUGCAAGCGUUAAUCGGAAUUACUGGGCGUAAAGCGUGCGCAGGCGGUUUUGUAAGUCUGUCGUGAAAUCCCCGGGCUCAACCUGGGAAUUGCGAUGGAGACUGCAAGGCUAGAAUCUGGCAGAGGGGGGUAGAAUCCCACGUGUAGCAGUGAAAUGCGUAGAGAUGUGGAGGAACACCGAUGGCGAAGGCAGCCCCCUGGGUCAAGAUUGACGCUCAUGCACGAAAGCGUGGGGAGCAAACAGAUUAGAUACCCUGGUAGUCCACGCCCUAACGAUGUCUACUAGUUGUCGGGUUUAAUUACUGGUACGCAGCUAACGCGUGAAGUAGACGGCUGGGGAGUACGUCGCAGAUAAACUCAAAGAUUGACG
rnacentral:rRNA from 1 species